rnacentral:lncRNA from 1 species
AUGCCAUUAUUACCCCUAUCAAGGAACCGUCUUGUGUUCCCGGGACAUUGGACCCCCUGGCCACCCCUGGCUGUUGGGGGAAGCGCGGACACGGGACACCUGGGGGUGGGGGUGCAGACACGGGACACACCUGGGUGCUGGGGGGUGGGGGCUGAAGGAGGAGCCGGCCCAGCCACAUGGGCAGAGCGCGGGCUGGGGUCCGAGACUGCAGACAGAGCCCUGCGGGCAGAGACAGAGGGGCUGGAUGCUGCAGCAGAGGAGGGGGCAGAGAGAGCAGGACGGGAGCGGGGAGGGGCGAGCAGCCUGCGGAGGGGCCCACCAGGGCCCCCAAGAGCCAGUGCGCGUGGACACGCACAGCUCAGGUCCAGGGCGCUGGUUACACGGCCCCGGGAAGCGCGAAGGCUGAGGCUGGCUCUCUGGCACGUGGCUUCCCAGCAGUCCGGGAAUGGCAGGCUUGAGAAGGAGCUGGGGGCUGGUGGGCGCGGGGCAGGGCGGGGCCGGGGGCAGGGCAAGGGGCCUGGUCAGCCAGACCUCCGUGCUCUGCUCCGGACGUGCCCAGGAGGCCUCCAGGCCUCGCCCCCAACCCCGCCAACGGGACCUGCCUGGGCCAGGACAAGCCCCAGGAGCACCUGCCCCUGCUGUGGGGAGGCCACAGGCUGGUGGUGUAGACCACGCCAGAGUCAGGAGUGCCAGACCUGGAGGACACCAACACACAAGGGUCUCCACCAGGGCUGGCUCGCCUGUCCCAGCAUGCUCCAAGCCUGCCACGCACCAGGGGGGUGGGGAGGGCAGACCCCACAGCGGAUGCCGGCCGCCUCGCCCGUGAGGACAGAGGUGCUCCCAGGCCCAGCCUGUGCGGAGCGGGGGUGCAUCCCUCCAGGUCAGGGUGGCAGCGGCAGGUCCCCAAGCCUCUGCCGAGAAGAGGAGGUGGUGUCAGGGCCGGCCGGGCAGCAGCUGGCCCCAGGGGGCACUCCCGGUUGGUCUGCCGGACGCCCGAGGCCCGGACCAUGA